GCUGUCGGGGGAUUGGGGACCCCCGGCGGGAGGAACAGCAGGUGGUCACACACUCCCGCCGCAUCCCUACCGUUUGGUAGGUGUAGGGUGGGAGCGGGAAUUGCAUACCUACAAAUGUCCAGGUGAUGCCGAAGCUACUGACCCAGAGCGCACACUCUGAAAGCCACUUUUCUAGGGUGCUCCUACCAUGAAGAAGCAGGUGAGGCCAGUACUUCUCCUCCACUCUUGCCUGCUUCCCUCAAAGCUACUCUAGACUGGGAGAUGAGGGUCUGAGAGGGAGAGAACAGAGGGAAGUGGGUGGGAGUGAGGCUUGAUAGCCGAGUAGAGGAGGGUUCAGGGUUCAGGAUGGGUUAUUGUGAGAUGGGGGAGAAUGAUAUUGCUGAGGUGAAGGUGGGUGUGGGUUGAGACUUCUGACAGUCCUGGUUGCUAGCCCUCAUCCAUCUACCUGCCUAGCUGAGCCGUUGGGUCUCUGACAUUCCCGGAAAAUCUUGAGAGACUUCUAGAGAGAGAGCUGGAAACCUCUACCUCUAGCCUUGGCCUCUAUAGAGUACUCUAGUUUUUGUGGUGAGGGCCUGUAACAGAAUGACCCUAUCCCUGACCUGGCUGACAGGGCUGUGGCUCUCCAGACAGCGACACUCAGGUGAAGACUGAAAAAGUCACUGCUCUUAGUGGUUGUCACAUCCUGUGUUCUUAGAUUCCAGGUAGGACCCUGGAAUUGCAGGUGAACUAGAUUUCUGAGAAAAUGAACCCUGGUCCUUAAGUGGAGAGGUGUGGAUAGGCCUGGAUGUUUGAAGAGUUGAGUUGCAGUUUUAGUCUUUGGCCUGAGUUCUCUCAUCUGUAAAACAAAGAUGGCCUACUUGAUUUACGUGACCUCUUCUUGCUUCCCAAUCCCCAAUUCAGUUUAUGCUCUUUAUUAUUCCCCCUACUCCUCAUUUGUACUCAGUGUUGGAGCCGAAAGUAGCCAGCCCGUGGGAGAGUGUUCCUUCCCAUGGGCUGCAGGCUCCAAGCUCCUGACUCUGCCUAACAGGUUACAUCAAGGUUUCAAAGGUCACAAUCAGUCUUGUCUGAAAAAGCAACUGUCUGUAUCAGAUUUUUGGAGAAUAGGAGGCUUGUGGAUCCGAUAUUGAGUUAAAGUAAUGCUGUAAUUUGUGUGUUUUGCUCCCAGAGAUAACCUCUAGUUAAUGUUUAUUCUUAGGAGUAACUGUAUCAUAACUAUUAAGUAGAGAAAUACCAGCUUAUGUAUUGAUUGACACUAGAAAACUUGAGAAUUCUUGUUUUAAAGUAGACACUUCCCUGAAACCAAGUUUAAAGCUAACCCCAGCUCCCUUCAAAUUGCUCAUCUGAAUCUAAACAUGUCCUUCAGAAUCAAGAGCAUGUUAAGUGGAGGAGGUUCAGUACUCCCAAGGACACAGGUUGGCUCUAACUCUUCUAUAGUGCCCCACUAGAGACUGCCAAUGAAUAUUUACAAAUUCUUCCUACAAUCCAGGCAUUUUUCAUUUGUUUGUCUUUUGGCUAUUUCAUGUUGAAGCGGCAUGUAUGACCUUUACAGCACAACUCCUGUCUUGUUUUUAACUCUUUUUAUCAGGAGAUUCAACUUGAAAACGGUUAUCAUUUAGCAGAAAGUCAAAUAGAAAAGCACAUUUUUGUAAGCAAAACGUUAAUGAUUGGAAGAAUUGCCCUAAUUUCAUCAUGACAGUGUGUGAUUAAUCCCCUGGGUCAUGUACUCAUACUUUCAGUUAUUCAGUUCGUUGGUCUUUGAUAUUCAGAAAACUUUCUAACUUAAUAGGAUAUUGAUUUUGUUGGAUGAUGUACUUUGACUCUUUAAACAACAUCACUUUUAGGGAUGACUAGCCUGUUGUAUAGUAUUUUAUUUAGAGAACUAUUGCAUAAGGUUUCUUUUUCUUGCUCUUUAUGGUUUUCUCGGGUGAAAGCUGAUAAGACAUCUUGUGGGAAAAGAGGAAACCAUCUCUGAUAGUGAAAGUACCUAUUCUCUUUCAAUAUUUCUGACAAGCUUUUUGUUUGUGGGCUUAUUACUGUGAAUAUUCUUCUUAGUGGGAACAGGACAGGGAUUCAAGAAAACAUGAAUAUUUGGACUUUGCGAGAAAUGCAUGUUGCUGGGGGCAGAUCCAAACUUCCCAGUCUAGUUAUACUUCCUUGUGGAAGAGAACAUGAACUCAACAGCUCACCCUUUUAAUUUCUCUUUAAAAUCUACUAAUUAAUAAUUCUUUAAAUCUGUGAUUGGAGGUCAUAUUCAUGUGACUCUGGAUAACAUGGGACAGAAUGUAGAAAAGUAAAUAAUCACCCAGAUGCUUGAAAAUGGUUAGGAGUUUGGUAUCUUGUGGUCAAAAUAAUAACAUAUUCUACUAACAUUUUUACCUUUCAUCCCUUUGGGUUUUAUGAAAUUCCAGAUGCAUUCUGAAAGCAUCUCAUCUAAUUUUGUCCUUUGAUACUUUUUUGGUUCUGUUGUUAAGUUGCACUGAGAAGCACUUUGCAGAGUCCUCCUAUUUACCCAAGUAUCUGAGCUCCAAGAUCUUAGAACACCAGCUACCCUUUCAAUAUGGUUGUAGGAAAUUCCUCUCCACAGAUAUUUUCCUGGAUAAGAGCUGGGAUGGAAGAAAAACAGAUGGGGUCCCCUGCAAGCCCCUUGCUGGUGUGGGUGGGGCAGGUGUGGAGCACCCUUGGCAAACAAUUCUCAGCCUCCAACCCUCAGUUCCUGGAGUUGUGGGCAGCAGACCUGAGAGUAGGCAUCAAUACCUGGCACCCAGCAGGCGCCAAGUGUUAGCCCCAAAGCUAAAAAGCCGCAGUGAUUCCCUUCUUUUGAGACAGCUCUUUGAUUCACAGUUACAGGCGGGAAACCUCUUCAGAAGUCGGAUGUACACAGAUCUCUGCAGACAAUGGAGAGCCAAGGAGACCUUGGAGCUGGCAAAGGCAUUUCCUGUCUGUGGAGGAUCUUGACUUUGGAGCAUCCGGCAGGCGGUCGCCCAUGAGGUUUUCGAGGCGAACGAACACUUUCCUGUGUAGCGGUUUAAAAAAGACCAAGAUGAUGAAAGAAAAAAAGAAAAGUCAUUGCCAACUUCAGGCGAUUUUCCAUAUGAAAGCCAGCGGAGCUGCUUCCCAUUUAAUUUUUGUCAUUGUUGUUGAAUGCAUAUUUUCUAACCAUUAAUUAGAAUACUUUUUAAUUUGAAAGGGAGGUUGAUAUUAUUGAAAAAUCUUAAAUAUUAAAAAAUCUCCAGUUGGGCAUGGUGGUGCCCACUGUAAUGUCAACUACUCAGGAGGUUGAGACAAGAUCUUGAAUUGGAGGCCAGUCUCUGGAAUUUAGCAGACCCAUCCCCUGCCUCUCAAAUCUCACUCUCUGAAAACACAUCUCAGAUGAACACAGAAAAGAGUUCAUGGUAAAGGGUUUCCUCCCCAUAUUCAUAAAUACCUGCAAGAAGAGAGAUGCCUAUUGAGUUUGUCUCACCUUGUUUUUAUUUUUUCUUUGAUAGUUUAAUUAUGCCAUUCCAUCUUUUCUCUCUAUUUUUCUUUUUAUUCAUUCCCUUUCCCCUAUAUUCCACCUCCCUCUUAUGAUUCCUUUUCCUCAUUCAGCUUAUUUCCCCAUGAAGAAAAUGGGGGCUGGAGUUGUGGCUCAAUGGUAGAGCACUUGCCUAGCAUGUAUGAGGCCCUGGGUUUGGUUCUCAGUGCCACAUUUAAAUAAAUGAAUAAAAUAAAGAUCCAUCAACAUCUAAAAAAAAUUUUUUAAAAAGAAUAGAAAAUGGGGGCUGGGGUUGUGGCUCAGUGGUAGAGCGCUUGCCUCGAAUGUGCGAAGCACUGGGUUCGAUUCUCAGCACCACACAUAAAUAAAUGAUUAAAACAAAGGUCCAUUGACAACUUAAAAAAAAAAAGAAUAGAAAAUGGAGCUAAGUGCUGUGAUGCUCACCUGUAAUCCUAGCAGCUGGGGAAGCUGAGGCAGGAGGAUCGUGAGUUCCAAGCCAGCCUCAGCAAAAGAAAGGUACUAAGCAACUCAUUGAGACCCCAUCUCUAAAUAAAAUGCAGCCUUUUCCAUUUUUUUUUUUUUUUAAUUUUGAGACAGAGUCUCUCGAUAAGUUGCUGAGGCUGACUUGGAAUUUCGAUCUUCCUGCCUCAGCCUCCUGAGCUGCUAGAAUUACAGGUGUGCACCAUUGUACCUGGUGAGAGUUGAGUUUUUUUUUUUUUUUUAAUUUUAUUUAAUCUUAACUCAAGUCUAGCAUUAAAUCCAGAAGGCAUUGCAGUACAAAAUAGGUCAUAGCAGCUUUUGUGGAUGUUGC
rnacentral:lncRNA from 1 species